UAAGGUCAUUACGAUGUCCAAAGUCACGCCCUUCCGUUACACGUAUGUCCUCUGCGUCCGGCUGACGCGUCCCAGACUGAGCCACCGUCCUCCUUGGACUAGGGACCGCAGCGGGACCCUGCAGUCCAGGAGGCGUCCUGGGGCCGGGCUUUGAGCCGGGGCCCUCGUCAGGAGCGCCCCCAAACCGAGGAGACACUCCUCAAUCAGGCCUGGCUGACUCUGUAGCAGAGCGUUGGGCGCCUGUAGACCCCAUGGGCCCCGGUAGACCCCCUAUAGACCCCAUGGGCCUCGGUAGACCCCUGUAGGGCCCGGGGCCCCUUUAGAACCAAUGGGGUCAAUGUAGCCCCCUGGGGGGCUCUGUAGACUGCGGGCCCCUCUAGACUGGGGGUCCUUGUAGACCCCUGGGUCCCCUGUAUACCCUUGAAAACCCUGGGGGACCCCUGCAGACCCGGGACCCUCGGUCCCCUGUCUUUAGACACAAGGGACUGCACUAGUCAGACUGCGGAUUGGUCUUUGGCUCCACCUUGAGAAGGGACAGUUCACAGAUUUAAAAACCUUGUUUCCUUCAAAUGUGAAGGAAUGACGAGACAGCGAACCAAAAACCUCCAAAGGGCUGGGCAGAAACCGAGUCAUUCGGGUCCAGAGCGGAGACAAGGCGGACAGUCCUUGUUCCACCUCUGGCUACUCUGAUGAGGGUUCGUGUCCCGGAAGUCAAACAUCUGAGCAUCCUUGAGAUGGUCAGGUGUUUUAGGAGGCUAUGGUCACGUCAUUCCCGCAAAAAGGAAAGCACAUGGAAACCAGGCUGAGAAUGGGUGGACUGCUGCUUUAAGCCUGCAUGGUGAGCACAUCACACUGGGCAUCGGGCCGCAGGGGAGAGGAGGCUUUGCCGCUGCUGUUGUAGUCAUCCAUUCUGAGUGAGCAGAAGGUGGAUGCUACAGGCACUCAAAGCCACUCCUCCGGCUGACGGCCGAAUGCCUGCGGGUUUGUUCCGUUGAGUGAUCGACUGCGAUGUUUCACUUGAUUUCAAACCUGACUGGCGCAUCUCUCUGUCAUUAUUUUAUCCUCAGAAAUGCAUGCGUUAGUAAUUUAACAAUAAAUAUAUUGUAUGUAAGAACCACUGGAAAGAAUCAAAGCAUUCAAACACUCUUUAGGCUCUGGGGAGCUGGACACGAUCUGGAACUUUAGGUGUUGGUGAGGUUCAUUAUUCUACAUCAUUGUGCAUACUCAAUGUUUACUCAUUAUACCAUACUUACUCAAAACUAGAGGAUUCAUUUAUGAUGGUUGACCAAUUAUUCACCUAAUUGAUCCAUUAUCAUUACUAAUGAAUAACGUGCCUUCUUUCCUUCCAUUUAGAAUUGCACGUCACACAUCGGGAAUACUUAAGUGUAGUCUUAGUUGAACAAAAAUAGCAAGGUUGUUAAGUUAGUUUUAAAUUAAAAUUGAAAGUAAUGUUGGCUCAUAUCAAUGUCACAUUAGCAUAACAUUAGCAUAGCAUUAGCAUACUGCUCCCAGCUGUUACCCAUUUACCUUGAAUAACUAAAGUACAAUAAGGUGACAGAGACCAGCUCAGUUGGAAAAGACACCCCUGUUAUCGUCUUCAACCCAAUCACUGAACGGCAGAGCUCCCUUCAGUGAUUGACUGACCAGGUAGUUCAUUCAAGAUAAACAUUAGUAACAAAUUAUACAAUCAAUACAUUCUGAGUUGUUUCGUCACUUAACAGAGGGUUAGCCCUUUAGAAGUUUAGCGGUGCAUUGAGAAAUGAGUAGGCACUUCAGAGGAUUCGUAACUUGUCAGUUUUUCUUCUACAAGGAUCAGAUGAAAGGUAAAGUCUCACUAGGUAAGAGCAGGACCUUCUCUCUCUACCGUCUCACCGUCUGCUGUGUGGAACACACACUAUAGACAACACACAGUGUGUAGAACACUGUGGAACACACACUGUGUACAACGCACUAUGUAGAACACACCGGGUACAAUACAAUGUGUACAACACAAUGUAUACACUGUUUGUAGAACAACACACUGCAUGGAGAACAGAGUGGAACACGCACUGUGUACAACACACAGUAUGUAGAACAGUGUGUACAUCCCACAGAUGUGUGCGUCUGAGACGGCAGAGUGGGAGGGUCCUGACGCAUGUUUUGUGCAUCGUAACGAGACCAGUGUAGACCACAUGCCUGAUGCCAGAGGUGUUCCUCUUGAUUGUAGCAUGCUGACGAUAGUGCAUGAGAUCGCAUGUCUGGCAUGACCGCACCACAGUGCACCACUAGGUCCUGGAUUACAUGAUAGUGCACGUGCACUACUGGGUCUUGGACUAUAUGAAUGUGCCCCACUAAGUCUUGGACUAUAUGAUAGUGCACGUGCACCACUGGGUGGACUACAUGAUAGUGCACAUGCACCACUAGGUCUUGGACUAUAUGAUAGUGCACGUGCACCACUGGGUCUUGGACUAUAUGAAAGUGCACAUCAAACUCUGCCCUAUUUAGGAGCUUGGAGCAGGAAGCAUCUAAGCCCUGUGGUCUCCUUAUUUAUAACAAACUUCCUCUUCUCUUUAGCCUACUUGAUUUAUAAAUAGCAUCGUACAGUCAUUCUUAAUAUAACUAAUCAUACCAUGAGUGAGGCAUUGUGGGAGUUGAAGUUUGUCCAGGGGCUUUAUAUAGGCCAGAGGCCUCCCAGAGGUCCUCAAACUGCAAAGUGUUUUCUUCUGAUUAUUUGUGUGUCUGUGUAUGUGUGCGUUUAUGAAUUUAUUUGCGUGUGUGUGUGUGUGUGUGUUAGGGUCAGCUAUGAAUAUGUAGAAUAAAGCAGAAACUAGGACAUGCAUGCCGUACUGGUGGUGCAUGGAAUGACGCGUGCUACAAACAAGGAGAAUGCCUCUGAAAGCAUGUGAGAAUGUAGAGUAUAGAAUAUAUAUGAAUAGAUCACAGUAUUUAUAAAUAGACAUUGAUUUGAGUAUAGAAUAUAGAGUAGAUAUCAGUAUAGAUGAGUAAAGAGUAUAGAUCAGAGUAUGGAAUACAGAGUACAUAAUGUACUCUAUAUUGUGCAUAGUAGCUAUAGAUUAUAGUAUUGAUUUGGGUAUAGAAUGUAGAGAUUAGAUCAUAUAACCUAUAGAUUUGGGUAUGUAACAUACAUUAAAAUAUUGAACCACAAAUUAGAGUCUAGCACCUAGGGAUUAGAGUUUAGAACCCAAGAUUAGGGUAUAUAACAGAUAUUAGUGUAUAUAACUACAGAAUAGGGUAUAGAAUGUAGAGAUCGCUGUUUAGAGGCUUUCCUCAUCUUUAUCAUCUGUAAUUCUUCAUGCUGAUCUUUCUUCCCCUUUAAGAAGAUGAAGAUAGAGGAGGAGGGGUGGGAGACGGAGAGGAGGUGUUGACCACACGUUUGGUCUGGACACUAAAGGAUAUCUAAACAACGUAGUGGUGCAUCUCUAGUUAGAUCUCUAGUUUGAUAGAAAAGGAGAGCUAGGUUUGUCAGUUUGAAGCCAAAAUCUAAGUGUCUACCAGUUAAAAAGACAAAUAAUUACAAUAGAACCAGUUCAAAACUGGUUAGUCAGUACCAGUUUAAAAUUACAAAUUAAUCCGCACCAGUUUAAGACUGGUACUAGUUAAUCAGUACCAGUUUGAAACUACAAAUAAUCCGCACCAGAUUAAGACUGCUACUAGUUAGUCAAUACCAGUUUGAAACUACAAAUUAAUCCGCACCAGUUUAAGACUGGUACUAGUUAAUCAGUACCAGUUUGAAACUACAAAUAAUCCGCACCAGAUUAAGACUGCUACAAGUUAGUCAGUACCAGUUUGAAACUACAAAUUAAUCUGUACCAGUUUAAGACUGCUACAAGUUAGUCAGUACCAGUUUGAAACUACUCCUUAAUCAGUUCCGGUUUAAGAAUGUUUCAAACAGCAUGGGUCGGUAAGUGAAAGUACUGCUGGAAGAAUUAAUGUGUGUGAACAUUUUCAUGCUUUUUGGUUUGUCGCCUCCGAACUCACUCACAAGAUGCAGAAAGAUAAGACACAACAGUGUUAUGUAUAUACUAAACAUUAUUAGUGCAUACAUAUUACUUUUUGAAUGGGGUUUUAAUAUUUCAAGGUUUAUAGGGAGUUACCUGGUUGAUAGGAACAUUCUAAGUGCAACUGGUCUGCGUAACUGGCAGAGAUGCACUUUGUGAUUUAAAAAAACAACGUUCAAACUAUUUGGUGAUGGAAGAGGAAGGAGUCUAACUCUGUUAAAAGAGUUGAGAUUCCAC